AGUGGGCUGACCUCUACGGGUGUGUGUGCGUGUGUGUGCGUGUGUCUGCCUAUGACGCAGGGAGGGAUUUAUGUAAGUGGCCUGGAAGGUCAUCUGUACCCCACUUCACCUCCACAUGAGAUGCAACAUUCCCUGGCUACCUGGCUACAGAGGAAACAACAAAGAUGAGAGCUUUUCUGUGAGAUGGGGGUGGUUUGUUGGUGGUGGUGUUUGGUGGUUGAGACAGGGUCUCACUGUGCAGUGCAGGCUGACCUUGGUCUCACAGCAACCCUCGUGCAUCACCCUCUGGAGUGCUGGGAUCACAAGUAUGUGCCACCACGCCUGCCAAGACAAAGAAAUGUAUUGUGAUAGAGGGAACCGAGACUUGGAGAAGUAAAGGGAAUUGUUCAAAGUGCAUUAUGAGUCCAUGUUUCUCACAAAUGCACUUUUCUGGACUGUUCUGCUGAGUUGUGUUCCUGCCAUUUGCACAAGCCCUUCCCUCCAGGUCUUCAGAACAGGACAUCCAAGCCACAGCCACUCCGGUGGGCCCUCCUCAUCCACGUCCACCGGUGUUCAUACAAGAGGAGUAAAUUUGCUACAGGGUGAGAUGUAGUGGCAGACACAAAAAACCACGUGGCGUGAGGGUGCACCUGGAAGGCAGCCUCCUGCACCCCGAAGAGCAAGGCCCCAGGAGAAACCACGCCUGCUCACACCCAGCUCCUACAGUUCCAGCCUGCAGCUGUGGGAAAGCAAAUGUCUGCUCUUCAAGCCGCUCAGUCCACCGCAGUAUCGGUUAGCGGAGCCCUGGAAAACAAACGCAAACUUGGCGUGUAAGCUACUUGUUCGAAAUAUUCUCUUUUCCUUCUAAAGGUGUAGUUUGCUUAAUCACAUCUUCUCUGUUGUUCUUAUCAGCCUUAAUGGAGGCUUUUCUUUUUCGGAGUGAACCAGGAUGCGGGGGGCGGGGGGAGAACAAAUUAUCAUCUUUGUGUUACUAAUUUUGUGUGGGUCUUAUUUCAUCUUAAUUUUGUUCUGGGCAUUUUUUUUUUCCUUUUUUGUAGUUUCUUGAAUCUUUGCUAAUUUAUUUUUCAGUAUUGCUUUUUUUUUCCUGUUCAGAAAAUCUACUCAAACCUAUAAAUUUCCUCAGUUCUAGCAGCUUCCAGCAACGCCGGAUACAAAACGGCAAUCAUUGGCCCGUAGGUGUUUUGUCCUUUCCUUGUAUCUUUUACUAAAAGGGCUGCGUGACGUGCAGGAUUCCCUUUCGGUUUGUUUCCAGAGGCGCGUCCUCCGGCGUCCGCCCCGCAGCGGCGUCCCCGUUUGCUCGCUUCCCAAGCGGUCCCCAUGCAGCUCGUGGUACCCAGGACCUUCUGCUCCAGGUUCAGAGGCUCUGCAUCUUCUCCUGCCGUCCUGAGGACACUGGGCUACAUCUUAAACCUUCUCCUGGAUCCCAGGGCAGCUUGUUUUCAGAUGUCUGUGCUUCCUCCUCGACUCUGUUUCAUCUCAAUGUUGCGCAGUGCCUCGACUGUUUUAUCUUUUUCUCCUCUACUCCUGGAACAGGGCCAGAGCUACCCAUGUCCAGGUUCUCAGUGGACGGAGGGAGUGGAGUGUCUCGGCCCUGCCCCUUGCCCACCAACACUGUGGGUGACAGCGUUCCUGAAGUCUGUAACUGCAGAGCAGAUUUACGGCUUGCACCACUUUCGGUCCAAAUCGAGCUCCAGCUCCCCGACUGCCGUGUCCUCUUCCACUUACCUGUCUGGCACCUGCCUGUCUGUCUUAUUACUUACUUAUCUGUAGUGCACUGCACCGAGUAAGUUCCGUCUGAGCCCCGGUUUCUUCCCUUCGGGACUCCUGCUAGGGGUCACUGUCUUAGAACAGCACGAUGAUAUCUCUCCUGCUUUCUGCCCAGUUGUUUUGCGGGGGUGAAAUUUAGCAUCUAACUGAGAUUAACAAGGUGAUGGGUGAAUUUGACGGUGCAUAUAAACAUCUAGAAAGAUGCCUCAGAGAGCAGCCUGCUAGGGGCCUACAGAGCUUUCCCAAGCCCAUUUCUUGUUGCGUGGGUGAGUGAAGGGGCGUGGUGCAUCGCCCUGCCUUUGUCUGACAGAUGCUUCUGGAGGUAAAACCUGGUGUGUGCAAGAUGAUGGUUCGGAAACUACGUCAUGAUAUGCCCCGCCUGCCACUCUUCUGCAGGCGACCCAGGGGACAGUCCGCUAGCCUCUCUGUGCCAGUUUCCUCAUCCAUUUCCAGGGAGCAGUGAGGCAUUGGGUUAUCAUAGGUGGAAAAGUGCAAACCAAGCGAACUGCUUAGAGCCACGGCUGGCUGCACGGAGCAGUAGUUAACAUGCUGGGGAAAAGUGUCAGCUGUAAGACCUGAACCCAUUUCUGUGGCUUCCAGCUGAAUGAUCUUAAGCUUUAUUCUCCUCUCUGUAGCUUCAUCCUCUCGUUUGUAAAAGGACAGUGCUGGAUAGAUAACCUCCAGAAUCCCGUCCGCUACAACACAUCAAAACUGCAGAGCUGUAGCCACACUUGGCCUCAUGGUUCCGCGGGGAAUGGAAAUCCUUUAUGAGAAAUGUGUAUUAAGCAAGCACAGGUCUCUCUAAAACCCACAAAGCAAAACCAGGCCUGGAGCUUUUCCAGAGUUCUGCUUGUCCUUAGCUGACUCUAAUAAACGUGUGGGGUUUUUGCAGUGAGCUCCCUCCCUCAGUACCCCUCUCCUUGUCAGCACACCAUUCUUCUCCAAACCGAGCUCCAAGCUGUACCAACUGAUGCACUGAUUCACUGUGUCUUACAACAGAAAAUGAACGCCUUCCAUUCACGCUGUUAAAUCAAAAUGUUCUCAUGUACUGCACAACAUACAGCUUUGUUUCCAUACUAAAAGAAUCUCAGGCAGCAUGAAAGGUGUGUGAACCGUAUUUGGGAAGGGAAAACGGUGAAAACAGCCCUACAGAUCACACAGUCGUGAUUCCUGCUGCCGGGCAGGGCCCCCAGGUCGGCGCAGAACCCACCAGUGAGCCCUCAGCCAGCUUCUGCGGCCCAAUCUGCCAGUGACUGCUUCUUUCUCGCCGCGGGCUCAGAGCAAGUUGCACAGCCGUGUCCAGUUCCCGGAGUCACACUUCAGGCUGCUAGGAACCACUGGCUACUCAGGAGUUCCGGGCACUUACACAAUUCCGGACUCAGGAAUCCAAGGAAGAAGGUCUGUGGGCCCGCGGCCGGUGCGCCAGAUGUCUGUUUAACCGCACGCUGGGGAGCAGCAUUCCCAGUGUGCAUUCGGCAGAAGCCACGCGGCACAAAGAGGCUUUGUGAAAGAGCGGGAAGCUCCAGGAUGGCUGCUGCUGAAGUGUGGGAAGGACGACCACUCCAAACGAAUCCGGCCUUUAACACAAUCACACGCCGUGAGCUUCUAAGGUUCCCAAGCUCUCUUAACCACAGUUCCAUAUUCCCAGAGAACGGGGCUGAAAGUCUACCCCUCGGCAGUUACUCUCCUGGGCCUGCCUUCAGCUGGCUUCAUGUGCCUCGGGCCCCACCGUGAUAACCCGUCCCGCUUCGCCAUUUGCCCCGGAAGGAAGAGAAACCCAUGGAUGGAGCUGACGAGCCUGGACAGGAGCCUGAAGCCGAUCCUCACUGAUUCACUGUCAUGAAACGAAGCUGCCCAAGGAGCCCAGCCUAGAUAAGUGCUAGAUAUGUUUUUUUUCCUUGUUACAUAGCAGUUUCUACCCUAUAUACUAUUUCUUCUUCCUUUCUACUCUUUUUUAGGCAGAGGAAUACCUGAGAUUGAACCCAAGGAGCAGUUAUGGUCGUAGGCAAGGACUUUCUGAACAGAAUCCUGGUUGCACAGGAAAUAGUACCGAGAAUCAUCGGAUGGGAUCCUCUCAAGUUAAGAAGCUUCUACACAGCAAAAGAAACAACCAACAGAGUGGAAAGACAGCCUACAGGAUGGGCAAAACAUAUUUGCCACUAUUCCUUAGACAGAGGACUAAUAUCUAGACUAUAUAAAGAACUCAAGAAACUUAGA